GACGAACGCUGGCGGCGUGCUUAACACAUGCAAGUCGAACGGAAAGGCCCCUUCGGGGGUACUCGAGUGGCGAACAGGUGAGUAACACGUGAGUAACCUGCCCUUGACUUCGGGAUAACUUCAGGAAACUGGGGCUAAUACCGGAUAGGAAUCCUUGCUGCAUGGUGGGGGUUGGAAAGCUUCGGCGGUUUUGGAUGGACUCGCGGCUUAUCAGCUUGUUGGUGGGGUAGUGGCUUACCAAGGCUUUGACGGGUAGCCGGCCUGAGAGGGCGACCGGCCACAUUGGGACUGAGAUACGGCCCAGACUCCUACGGGAGGCAGCAGUGGGGAAUAUUGCACAAUGGGCGGAAGCCUGAUGCAGCAACGCCGCGUGCGGGAUGACGGCCUUCGGGUUGUAAACCGCUUUCAGCAGGGGCGAAGCUUGUGGUGACGGUACCUGCAGAAGAAGCACCGGCUAACCACGUG
rnacentral:rRNA from 1 species